GCUGGCCAUUCAUGUCCUGGUUUCCUGACUCAGCCACUAUGGCCACAGGCAUAUGCCACCCCCCACCCCAAAAAAAAAAUACUGGGGGAAAUUAGGGGCCUACAGGCCAGGAUUGGUUCUAGAGUGAGCUCUGGAAGAGAGGACACAGGAGGGUGCUCUGAAGGAGCGGGCACUGAAGGGGCGGGACGGGACCAGUGGAGGCGAAGGAGAUGAAGGAGGGCUGGACAGGACCAGCAGAGGUGAAGGAGACGAAGGAGGGUUGGACAGGACCAGCUGAGAAGAAGGAGGGCUGGACAGGACCAGUGGAGGCGAAGGAGACGAAGGAGGGCUGGACAGGACCAGCAGAGGUGACGAAAACACUGGGCUUAAGUAACAGGGAGUAAAGAUAAUUAAUCAAACACAGGAGGAACCAAAUGGACAUAAUGAACUAUAAUGAGGACAGGAACAGGAAAAUAAC
ensembl:lncRNA